rnacentral:rRNA from 1 species
UACGUAGGGAGCGAGCGUUAUCCGGAUUUAUUGGGUUUAAAGGGUGCGUAGGCGGGCUGUUAAGUCAGCGGUCAAAUGUCGGGGCUCAACCCCGGCCUGCCGUUGAAACUGGCGGUCUUGAGUGAGCGAGAAGUAUGCGGAAUGCGUGGUGUAGCGGUGAAAUGCAUAGAUAUCACGCAGAACUCCGAUUGCGAAGGCAGCGCACCGGCGCCCUACUGACGCUCAGGCACGAAAGCGUGGGUAUCGAACAG